rnacentral:rRNA from 1 species
GACGAACGCUGGCGGCGUGCUUAACACAUGCAAGUCGAACGGAGCGAAUGAAAGCUUGCUUUUAUAAGCUUAGUGGCAAACGGGUGAGUAACACGUAGGCAACCUGCCGACAGGAUGGGGACAACAUUCCGAAAGGAAUGCUAAUACCGAAUGAAGUCGAGGGAGGGCAUCCUCCUCCGAUGAAAGAUGGCCUCUAUAUAUAAGCUAUCACCUGUCGAUGGGCCUGCGUCUGAUUAGCUGGUAGGUGAGGUAACGGCUCACCUAGGCGACGAUCAGUAGCCGGUCUGAGAGGAUGAACGGCCACAUUGGGACUGAGACACGGCCCAGACUCCUACGGGAGGCAGCAGUGGGGAAUCUUCCGCAAUGGGCGCAAGCCUGACGGAGCAACGCCGCGUGAGUGAAGAAGGUCUUCGGAUCGUAAAGCUCUGUUGAUGGGGACGAACGUGCCUAAUGCGAAUA